UGAGAGACUCCCAUGAUUGCCCC
rnacentral:piRNA from 1 species